rnacentral:rRNA from 1 species
GAUGAACGCUAGCGGGAGGCCUAGCACAUGCAAGCCGAGCGGUAUUUCUUCUUCGGAAGAGAGAGAGCGGCGCACGGGUGCGUAACACGUGUGCAACCUACCUUUAUCUGGGGGAUAGCCUUUCGAAAGGAAGAUUAACACCCCAUAAUACAUUGAAUGGCAUCAUUUGAUAUUGAAAACUCCGGUGGAUAAAGAUGGGCACGCGCAAGAUUAGAUAGUUGGUGAGGUAACGGCUCACCAAGUCAAUGAUCUUUAGGGGUCCUGAGAGGGAGAUCCCCCACACUGGUACUGAGACACGGACCAGACUCCUACGGGAGGCAGCAGUGAGGAAUAUUGGACAAUGGGUGAAAGCCUGAUCCAGCCAUCCCGCGUGAAGGAUGACGGUCCUAUGGAUUGUAAACUUCUUUUGUACAGGAAUAAACCUACUCUCGUGAGAGUAGCUGAAGGUACUGUACGAAUAAGCACCGGCUAACUCCGUGCCAGCCGCCGCGGUAA